rfam:Gorilla gorilla gorilla genomic chromosome, chrX, whole genome shotgun sequence
GCCAGGCAUGGUGGUGCAUGCCUGUGGUCCCAGCUACUUGGGAGGCUGAGGCAGGAGGAUUGCUUGAGCCCAGGACGUCAAGACUGCAGUGAGCUGAGACCACACCACUGCACUCCAGCCUGAGUGACAGAGCAAGAGCCUGUGUCAA